GGCUGUGGGAGGACCACCUGCCGCAAAUUAGAGGGGAGAAACAUAACGCCAAAAUAUAUGACGCCAUUGUCGCAGCUCUUGCUCAGAGCGGCAUCAAGAGAACUCGCCGGCAGGUGCAGACCAAGAUCGACAACCUGACCCAGAGAUACAGAGUCGCGGGAAAGGACGACAGGGUCCUCGCCGUCUCCCUGGCCGUUCUUUUCUGAAGUACACAGGAUCUUGGUUGCCCUGCCGGCGAAUGAUCGCUCCCUCAUUCAGGAGAGCCCUUGCUCUCCAGAUGAAACUGUAGAAAUGAUAAUUUCCAGCAUGGAACGUUCCAAUGGAAAUACCUCUGGAGAGGAGGAGGUGGCAGACGCAGUGGAAGACGCAAGCGAUAGCCAAGGGCCUGCAUCCACCACACAACCGC